GACGAACGCUGGCGGCGUGCCUAAUACAUGCAAGUAGAACGCUGAAGAGAGGAGCUUACUCUUCUUGGAUGAGUUGCGAACGGGUGAGUAACGCGUAGGUAACCUGCCUUGUAGCGGGGGAUAACUAUUGGAAACGAUAGCUAAUACCGCAUAACAAUGGAUGACACAUGUCAUUUAUUUGAAAGGGGCAAUUGCUCCACUACAAGAUGGACCUGCGUUGUAUUAGCUAGUAGGUGAGGUAAUGGCUCACCUAGGCGACGAUACAUAGCCGACCAGAGAGGGUGAUCGGCCGCACUGGGACUGAGACACGGCCCAGACUCCUACGGGAGGCAGCAGUAGGGAAUCUUCGGCAAUGGGGGCAACCCUGACCGAGCAACGCCGCGUGAGUGAAGAAGGUUUUCGGAUCGUAAAGCUCUGUUGUAAGUCAAGAACGGGUGUGAGAGUGGAAAGUUCACACUGUGACGGUAGCUUACCAGAAAGGGACGGCUAACUACGUG
rnacentral:rRNA from 1 species